rnacentral:rRNA from 1 species
CCUACGGGAGGCAGCAGUGGGGAAUUUUGGACAAUGGGCGCAAGCCUGAUCCAGCAAUGCCGCGUGAGUGAAGAAGGCCUUCGGGUUGUAAAGCUCUUUUGUCAGGGAAGAAACGGUCUGGGCUAAUAUCCUGGGCUAAUGACGGUACCUGAAGAAUAAGCACCGGCUAACUACGUGCCAACAGCCGCGGUAAUACGUAGGGUGCAAGCGUUAAUCGGAAUUACUGGGCGUAAAGCGUGCGCAGGCGGUUUUGUAAGUCUGACGUGAAAUCCCCGGGCUUAACCUGGGAAUUGCGUUGGAGACUGCAAGGCUGGAGUCUGGCAGAGGGGGGUAGAAUUCCACGUGUAGCAGUGAAAUGCGUAGAGAUGUGGAGGAACACCGAUGGCGAAGGCAGCCCCCUGGGUCAAGACUGACGCUCAUGCACGAAAGCGUGGGGAGCAAACAGGAUUAGAUACCCUGGUAGUCCACGCCCUAAACGAUGUCUACUAGUUGUCGGGUCUUAAUUGACUUGGUAACGCAGCUAACGCGUGAAAUAGACCGCCUGGGGAGUACGGUCGCAAGAUUAAAACUUNAAAGGAAUUGACGGCNGAGAGNGCGAGACGACGACGAGGAGAGG